rnacentral:misc_RNA from 1 species
GAUGAAGAACGUAGCGAAAUGCGAUAUGUAAUGUGAAUUGCAGAAUUCAGUGAAUCAUCGAAUCUUUGAACGCACAUUGCGCCCCUUGGUAUUCCGAGGGGCAUGCCUGUUCGAGCGUCAUUAUAACCCCUCAAGCUCAGCUUGGUGUUGGGGCCUGCUGCACUGGCAGCCCUUAAAAUCAGUGGCGGCGCCAUCUGGCUCUAAGCGCAGUAAUUCUUCUCGCUAUGGAGUCCUGGUGGAUGCUUGCCAUCAACCCCCAAUUUUUCUAUGGUUGACCUCGGAUCAGGUAGGGAUACCCGCUGAACUUAAGCAUAUCAAUAAGCGGAGGA